rnacentral:tRNA from 1 species
GCGGGAGUCCCAUAGUGGCAAUUGGAUCGGCUUUAGGAGCCGACGGCUCAGUGCCUGCGCAGGUUCGAUUCCUGUCUCCCGCA